rnacentral:rRNA from 1 species
GACGAACCGUGCGAACGUUGUUCGGAAUCACUGGGCUUAAAGGGAGCGUAGGCGGGCUAUCAAGUCUGGGGUGAAAUGCCGCGGCUCAACCGUGGAACUGCCUCAGAUACUGACGGCCUCGAGGGAGAUAGGGGCAUGCGGAACUGUAGGUGGAGCGGUGAAAUGCGUUGAUAUCUACAGGAACUCCGGUGGCGAAAGCGGCGUGCUGGAUCUCUUCUGACGCUGAGGCUCGAAAGCUAGGGGAGCAAACGGG